UCAGGCUCUGAAAUGCACAGAUAUGGUGAAGUCUGAGUAGGAACAUUUCACUCAUCUCACUCCAGUAGUUCCCAUCAGAAGAAAAAAUUUGCCCUUUCAGCAGAUAUUUUGCAGCAAAAAAAAAAGUGCAGUGAAGAUUUGAGGAAUUAAGACAUCCUAACUUCUAAAACUGUGGCUGAAAUAUUGCUGGGGACAGAGAAAACAACUCGACAAGGCUGUGGUGUGCCAGGUCUGUACUACAGGUGUGAAACGAGCGUAUUUAGCUACCCAGCAACAAGAUACUCAGUAUGAUGAGAUAUUCUGGAAUUUUUCACAAAUGGCGUUCUGCUUCUACUGUCACAAGUGAGUGAGUGAGUACCAGCAAGCCUUGUCCCUGACUAUUUAUCUUUAUUUAAGGUAAUUUCUGAUGGCAGUGGACAGCAAAGGCCUCAGUGCAGCCCUAUCCAAGAUUCUUUAGCAAACUCUCUUUCAGGCACCAGUCAGGCCAAGCACGUUCUUCAGGUAGCUUCCCCAUACAGCAUUGUGAUGUGCCUGUUUUAGAAGGAUGAAAACAGGGCAGAAAUGUAAAAUGUUACCUCUGUCAGAAGAGACAGACACAUUCUGCUCCUGCUCUUUUGUUGUGGGAGAUUUGCUGCUUCCCUCUGUUGUGGCUCCCAAUCCUUCUGCCUGUGACGUAGGUUCUAUUUCUGAUGCAUCCAGUGAAUUGUCCAAGUCCCAGGAAGUGACCAUUGUCCCUGGCAAUGAAUUUCACUGCGUUAUACACGUCUCUCAUUUUGGUACAUUAUUACAAGGGCCUUGAGCAGGGCCAGCUCCUGCCCAAACCUCACCUUUAUAUGCUCAGCUCUUCAAACAGGGGUUGGAACAAGCCCUGCUGAUGCUCAAGGCACUCAAAAAAAGUGGCAAAUACGUUUUCAAAUCAGAUUAUCUACUUCUUUUAUUUUUUCCCUCAUUUUACAUGCACUAACAAACACAAAGGAAAAAUGUUUUAGACAGCAUUUCCCAUAGUUUUCUUUGGCCUCCUACACACAAAAGGCACAUUUUUUUUAGAGCGCUGAGGUUGUACAUUCUGUAAAAUUGCAUCGAUCUUGUGAGACUGCCAAGAUUUCCUGCUUUCCCCAAGGUUUUAAAUCUCAUAACAGAGGUUCCCUUCUUUGCAUUAAGACAAACAGAAAUAGAAACCAGCGUCACUGAAAAGUUAAAGGGGGAAAAGGAAGCUGUGUCCUUUCAUGUUUCAAGGGAAGAGCUGAGGAUUAGCUGGAGAAGCUCUGCUUGCAAAGUGCUGAGGCAGGCAGGGCACAGCAGCUCUCAUUUAGUGUUCAUGACUGUUUUAUUGCAAUGGAUACAGUGUUCCAGCAACAAGUUCACAUUUUAGGAGGGCCAGAAAAGGCCACCACAAAUCACACUGCCCUAUCUGAACUCAAAGCUCUGGAAGUGAAAGUUGAGGAAACAUCCCAAGAUGGAAGAAAUAAAAAAGCCCUUUUCUCAGUGUUCUGCCAGCUGCAGGGAGUGUUUUGAGUUUUACCUUUAUCUUCCAUGAUAAUUGUCUCACAUUGCACUUCCUUGUUUUUGGCAGCCCCAGCCAGGGUUUGCACCAUUCUCUCUUCAAAGCGUUCGCUGCUAGCUUUGGCUUUGCACAUGUCAGCGUAAAUCUUAUUCCGCUCCCUCGAAAACAAAGAAGACAGUGUUUGGCAACUCUCUGAAAAACUUCUGCAUUCAAAUUCUCAGUGUCUUUGAACAGGAGAGGACACUCCAUUUUUUACAUUUAUUGCUUGGAUGUUUUUGGAUUGCUACAUGUUAUUUCAGUGUUUGUAUUUCUCUCAGCAGCUGUUUCUGACCUUUGUGAUGCUGUUCUAAAACAGGAAUGGCUUGUAGAGAGCAGGACCAGCAAAAAUCCCUACCCCAACUACCUGUAAAUUUUGGGGGAAUUCAGAGGAGUUCAGAAAUACGUAGCUCUCUUCACUUGGGAGUGAAAGGCAGAGCAUCCAAGACACAGAAAGGAAACUGCUCCAUUUCUAUUACCCCCAGCCCUCAAGUUCUGUAGGGAUGUCAGUGGGAAUUAUGAACAUUUAUUAUUUUGGUUUCACUAUUUGAGCAGAUGACGUGGGUCAUACCCCACCCCUGCUGUGCUCAGGAAGAAUUACUGUUCCUGUACAGCUGGCCAUACCCUCUGUGCACACCAGCGAAGCCUGAUUUGUUGGAUGCUCAUCCUCUUAUUCUUCCCAAAAAGCCCACCAGUGUGAUUGACAAACAUUGGGGUUGGAGUCCUACCAUGAACUUGGUGUGGACACAAGCAGAAAGAGCUUGCUUAGAGGAGUUGUUUGACUUGUCAGCUGCAGCUUUGGGGCUUUGUGUUUCCAAAAGCUGUGUGACAGGUCUGUCACAUGGAGAGAACUUUGCUGCUCUCUGUCCCAGUCAGCUCCUGGGAAUAAGCCAAAAACCUGGGUUAACUCCCCACCAAAGCUCAUGGGAGUCCAGGGAGGACUCUGAAGUGGGAAUACUAAGGGGAGACACAAUAUUAUGGUUCCUUCUAACUAGAAGCACUGUGAGGAGCUUCAGAGGAAGCCAACACUUAGUAUGUUUAUCUCUUCUUUAUUAAUAAAUAAUUAGCUGUAAAGCUACACACAAAGAUGAAUGCAGAGGUUUGUGAUUUCCUACUGUUUUCAUGAAAAUUUAGUCAUGUAAUUCCUUAUCACAUGCUUCUCUUUCCCUUACCCUCUGCUUUUCCUAACCUGCCUUAAUUUUUCAGUGAAAGACAAAAUGAAUUUCAUCAACGUGAUGGAGUUGCAAGAAAUUUAGCCUUGUCAAAGAGAGACCCAAGGCUUUGAACACAGAUGAAAUGGGGGCCAAUCUAUACCUACAGAACUCUCCCAGCAUCUUCUGCUUCCACAGACACCAUGACAGAGGGCAUAUCAAACAUCCAGAGUGUGUCUGUCUCUGAGAGGUAAAUAUCCACUCUCUGAUCCAGGUCUGCCUCUGUUAAUUCUUCUUCCAUCUCCUCCUGCCCCACCUGCACAGCUGAAAAAUGAGGUGAACAAGUGCUUUUCUGCUCUGAAUUUAAAAGAAGACAAAUUAAUUCUUAAAGUAUUGUAAAGCACCGAGUUCCUUUGAAGUGCUGGGCUGACUCAGUGUCUCACAAAUCCCAGUGCUCCAAAGAACAGUUUAAAUCUAUAAUUAUAGUGUCUGUUCUUUACCAGAUAAGCUCAAAGUUGGGUCUUGUCCAGAGCCAGGUUCUGCUGUUCCCUCGAGGCCAGACUUGGUUGUUGAUUUGUUUGAUAUCCAAGUGCUGCUGCUUCCAUAUGUCCUUCAGUGACAAGAAAUAAGCAGAAAUUGUCUCAAAAAAAGAGAUGUCUUAUUUUCAGGAGAUACUUUAUAUUUUUUAAGUCAUUUUUUGUCUAUAUUUGCUCCUGGUUGAUAUCCCAGCCUCUGGGAUUAUGUGUUGUAACAGCCAGCCUGGGAAACAUGACAGAAGGAUGGUCCUCAAAGAGCAAUUUCUUUAUCUUAAAAAUCACAACUGCAGUUAUUUAUUGCAUUUUGAUGCAGUGAUGUGGCUCAUGAUUUUUCCUUUUAAACACAAAUAGUUAUUUACCUUCUUUUUGUAUGACUUAAUUGAAUUUGUCAUUUGGAUGCACAUAAUCACCCAGAGGUAACUGGUUUAAAUUAGUAAAAGAGAGAAUGUUAACAAGAUUUGUAUAUUUUUAAUAAUUUAAUAUUUGAAUUUAUAUAUUUUACAUUUUUGCAAAAAAGAUUGUCUGUACUUAAUAAGUAUUAUCAACACAGAUAAAAUACUUGAAAAUAAA